rnacentral:rRNA from 1 species
GUGGGGAAUUUUGGACAAUGGGCGCAAGCCUGAUCCAGCCAUGCCGCGUGCAGGAUGAAGGCCUUCGGGUUGUAAACUGCUUUUGUACGGAACGAAAAGACUUCUUCUAAUACAGGAGGUCCAUGACGGUACCGUAAGAAUAAGCACCGGCUAACUACGUGCCAGCAGCCGCGGUAAUACGUAGGGUGCAAGCGUUAAUCGGAAUUACUGGGCGUAAAGCGUGCGCAGGCGGUUAUAUAAGACAGAUGUGAAAUCCCCGGGCUCAACCUGGGAACUGCAUUUGUGACUGCAUCGCUGGAGUGCGGCAGAGGGGGAUGGAAUUCCGCGUGUAGCAGUGAAAUGCGUAGAUAUGCGGAGGAACACCGAUGGCGAAGGCAAUCCCCUGGGCCUGCACUGACGCUCAUGCACGAAAGCGUGGGGAGCAAACAGGAUUAGAUACCCGGGUAGUCC